CGUGUGUAGGGUGUGAGGGUGAAGUUCCAAUACUCACAUGCAGCUGGGCAGCUGAGAGAAUCGGGCUCACUUUUCACAUUUUCUCUGCAGUCUUCAGGUCACCCCACCUGCUGCCACGCAGAAGCUACACAAUGUGCUCACCGUGCCCCACCAAAACUGCAAGCCUGUGGACAAAAUAAAUAUUGUCAAUAUCUUGA